AGACAUGGCCAGAUGCAGGAUGUGGCCAUAACAGACAGAAAUCCUCCAGGGACAAACAUGGCACACACGCUCAUAAACAAAAUUAAAAACAGGUGACAAAAUUAACACUGGAACAUGGACGCGUGCAUGCGCAGAAACACACACACGGGAGAACUCCUUACCCCAUCAAAUUCAAUCAAGAACUCGGUCUUCAGUCGUCUGCUGGCAUCAUGCUCUCCCUCUCUCCUUUCACAGAGUAGACUGUCGAUCUCAUCUGUGUGGGUCAAAAGAUACCUAUGAAGAUGAUCGAGGGUUGCAGUUCUCUGGCGACGGCAAACAGAGCUCGCACCAGCUUCUCUCCCUCCCCCACCUACAGGGAAAGACCAAAAGAAUAGCGAGUGAACUCUGAAUAGAGGACCGAAGAGCAGAAGGCCUCGUGCUGGAGCCCUCAAACCUGUAAACAACUUGAAAAAGCAACACCUACUCAGCACUGGUUUCAUGAAGUUCAAAAUUACAGAGCCUAUCGGAAUCAAUAAAUUACUGAUUUAACAUUUACUGUAUUUGGUAUUUUAUUAGGAUCCCCAUUAGCUGUUGCAAAAGCAGCAGCUACUCUUCCUAGGGUCCACACAAAACAUGAAACAUAAUACAGAAUGACAUAAUACAGAACAUCAAGGAAGUUCCAUGC